GGGGGGCGGGGCCGGCGCGACCGGCGGGGCGGGGCGGACACUCCCACCGCGCACCUGCUUCUGCCUGACGUGUACCCGGAAGGUCGUCAGCUCAGGCUCCAAAUAUGUAACAGUGAGUUUCUAAAACAGGUGGAGAGGUAUGAAGAACGAGGAACACUGCCCGGGGAGUUUCUUCCUCUGCAAAAUAAGGGAGUGUGUACUGAAUUACCGUUUCCAGCUCCAACAUCCAGGAUUUCAGCACUACCUGCAGAGUAGUGGGAGGAGAGAUAGAGGAAGAAGUGAAGAUAAGAAACCACUCGAAGCCGGUGUCUGGUGCUGGGACCGUGGUGGCUGGGACGGCAGCAGUCGUGCUGUCCAUCUGCUCUUCCGAGGGGUGGCACAUCCUAGCCUCUAUCUUUUCCCCAGAGAAGAUCCCCCUCGUCUGCUCUUCCCCCGUCUCAGCCUUUUAGUGUGUGAACAGUUCUGGUGUUACUCAGCAACGCUUUUGUUAGCGCCUUUACCAGCAAGUACUUGUUAAACACUUAAAUCUUACAAGUGGAAAGAAAAUUCCGUGGUAAAUUUAAGUACAAAAGUCAACCAAAAUUCUGAGUCUCGGACAAGACUGGUUAAAAAUCGUUCUACAAUGAAACUAAUAAAUUAAAUCAUAUAAAACUUU
rnacentral:lncRNA from 1 species